ensembl:lncRNA
GGCAUCCUUCUCUUAUUUGUUUAACCAUGCUGCUGGCCUAGGUGCAAUCACAGUUUUUCAUUUACAUGAUCUACUAAUUGGAAAUCUGUGCCUACCCAGCCUCAGUCCAUGCUUAGACGCUCCUGCUGCUGGCCUUGGAUAUUUCAUUCCAAAUAUACCCUGGGUGCCAAGAAUGAUAAAAAAAAAAAAAAACCCACUUGAGAACAGUGUUGUCAGACCUUAGCGUGCAAAAGAAGCACCUGGCAUACUUGAUGAAACACAUACUCUCAGGCCAGCCCCAAAAGAUUCUGAUUUAAUAAGUCUGAGAUCUAAACUCUAAUGCAAUUGGAAAAAGGACCUCUCAACACUCACAGAGCAAGGAGAAGACAUAAUGAUCUCCAGAAUGAAUUUCCAAGAUCAAAGCAGAACUAAGUGUGCCUGUGAAUGUAAGAACAGGUAACACUGGACAGCUGUGACCAUAAAGAAGUCAUCAGAUCAAUUGAUCACCAUGUCAUUUUGGCUGUGGUUCUAAAUGGUUUUUUUGUUGUUGUUUGUUUGAAGUAUCUGGCACAAGAUAAAGAGAGAUUCUGCUGUAAGGAAC